AAGAAUGCGAUAUGCAAUGUGAAUUGCAGAACCACGAAUCAUCGGAUCUUUGAACGCAACUGGCGCUGAUAAUAUCAGCAUGCUUGUUUCAGUGUGCUCAAACAACUCAACCACCUCAAUGUGAGAGAAGUUCUCUCAUGAAGUACAUGCUCCCUGCAGCAGUCACAUUCAUAUGUGAGCUGUGCGGAAACACACUGCCUUAUUCGCACCUGAAAUCAAGCAAGAUGACCCGCUGGACUUAAGC
rnacentral:misc_RNA from 1 species